rnacentral:lncRNA from 1 species
AAUCCAAUCAUUGACUCCUCAUCUACAACUUCAGCUUUGAGUAGAAAUUUAUUUUUAGCCAUUUCAACAAUUAUACAAACUUAAUCAUCGAUUAAUUUUAUUCUUGCACUUAAAUAAAUUUAUAGUAAUUUUUUGAAAAAAGAAUAUAUAAAAAAAUUAAACAAAUUUCUACUCGAAAUCGUGAUAAUUUAUAGCGAGGAGAAAGGUUGAAAUUAAAUAAAAAGGAAAAACAAAAGAGGUAGAAAAGAAAAACGACCCCCCUCCCCCGC